rnacentral:rRNA from 1 species
AUUGAACGUUGGCGGCAGGCCUAAUACAUGCAAGUCGAACGGCAGCACGAGAGCUUGCUCUUGGUGGCGAGUGGCGGACGGGUGAGUAACGCGUAGGAAUCUACCCAGUAGCGGGGGAUAGCCCGGGGAAACUCGGAUUAAUACCGCAUACGCCCCACGGGGGAAAGGCCGGGAUCUUCGGACCGGUCACUAUUGGAGGAGCCUGCGUAGGAUUAGCUAGUUGGUGAGGUAAAGGCUCACCAAGG